GACGAACGCUGGCGGCGUGCUUAACACAUGCAAGUCGAACGAAGUGGCGAACGGGUGAGUAACGCGUAAUCAACCUGCCCUUCAGAGGGGGACAACAGUGGGAAACGACUGUUAAUACCGCAUACUGAUUGAGGGGAUUGCGGCGGAAGAGCUAGUGGGAGGGGUAACGGCCCACUAAGGCGGUGAGGGGUAGGCGGCCUACGAGGUUGACCGGCAACAUUGGAAGUGAGAUACGGCCCAGACACCUACGGGAGGGAGCAGUGGGAGAUAUUGCACAAUGGGGGAGAGGCCGAUGCAGGUGUACGACGUGGGGGAUGAGGGCUUUCAGGUUGUAAACCUCUGUCGCUAGCGAACGGUUAGGUGGAGAAGAAGCGCCGGCUAACUACGUGCCAGCAGCCGCGGUAAUUC
rnacentral:rRNA from 1 species